rfam:Loxodonta africana unplaced genomic scaffold scaffold_10, whole genome shotgun sequence.
UCCUGUGUGGUACAAACAGUUAAUGCGCUCAGCUGCUAACUGAAAGAUCGGAGGUUCGAGUCCGCCCAGAGGUG